rnacentral:rRNA from 1 species
UACGGAGGGUGCAAGCGUUAAUCGGAAUUACUGGGCGUAAAGCGCACGCAGGUGGCUGAGUCAGUCGAUUGUGAAAGCCCUGGGCUUAACCUGGGAAUUGCGUCUGAUACUGGAUGGCUUGAGUUUGGGAGAGGGACGCGGAAUUCCAGGUGUAGCGGUGAAAUGCGUAGAUAUCUGGAGGAAUACCGGUGGCGAAGGCGGCAUCCUGGACCGACAUUUGACGCUGAUGAGCGAAAGCUAGGGGAGCAAACGGG